rnacentral:rRNA from 1 species
AGUGAACGCUGGCGGUAGGCCUAACACAUGCAAGUCGAACGGCAGCACAGUAAGAGCUUGCUCUUACGGGUGGCGAGUGGCGGACGGGUGGGGAAUACAUCGGAAUCUACUUUUUCGUGGGGGAUAACGUAGGGAAACUUACGCUAAUACCGCAUACGACCUACGGGUGAAAGCAGGGGAUCUUCGGACCUUGCGCGAUUGAAUGAGCCGAUGUCGGAUUAGCUAGUUGGCGGGGUAAAGGCCCACCAAGGCGACGAUCCGUAGCUGGUCUGAGAGGAUGAUCAGCCACACUGGAACUGAGACACGGUCCAGACUCCUACGGGAGGCAGCAGUGGGGAAUAUUGGACAAUGGGCGCAAGCCUGAUCCAGCCAUACCGCGUGGGUGAAGAAGGCCUUCGGGUUGUAAAGCCCUUUUGUUGGGAAAGAAAAGCAGCAGGUUAAUACCCCGCUGUUCUGACGGUACCCAAAGAGUAAGCACCGGCUAACUUCGUG